ensembl:lncRNA
UAACAAUAACCUUGUAUGUGAUUGGAGGACCCUUAGACUCCUCGUCCAAUCACGUGUGAGGUCAUAGGCAUGACUGAUACAGCAGUACUUGCAAGACGAGCAUACAAACAGUGUGUUACUAUAUUCAGAAGAACUGUAUCUCCAGUUCCUUUGUUUGGUUUUUGCUGCUUUGUGAAUAAUGGCUGGACGACGUCUCGCGUUCAACUGGCCUUCAACUCCUCUCCGCGGUCACCAACUUUCGGCCAGUCCGCAGACAGACGUGAAGAAGCUGCUGAAAGCUCUCAGUGGAUCGUCUCGUCAACUCCAACAACAAACUGCCGAUAUCAACGAGCGGUUCGCUCCACUGGAGCGUUCGGGACUCUGCGGGUUUCUGUCCAUAGAGGAGAGGAACCGACUCAAAGAAGAGGAGACGGGCGCACGAUCCCAAGAUAGCGGUAAGAAUACGUUCGAUGACUGCAAGCUAAGCUAAAAGUAGUGUAGCCUCAAGCUAAGCUAAGAGUAGCCUAGUAGCCUUAAUGAGCAGAAACAGCUUUAUUAAAGUGUAUUUUCUUUGCCGUGUCGUUUACAGGAAGCGGUGCGCCGUCUUCACAACUCCGAGACGAAUUACAGGCGCUACGAACCGGAGCAAGGACUAAUCUCGCCUCAUAAUGAGGCGGUGACCUCGUAUUUGCUCCGGGAAAAGUCCAGAUUUAGACGACGUCAUUGUGUCUCCCUGUGAGACGUAUUGUGAGACCGGACGCAGGAGCUUCAGGUUCAGCCGGAACACUCAUUGCGGGCGGAAGCUGCGAAGGAUUCAGCGCGGAGUCAAGCGAGAAGAAAGAGGCUGCUGGAAUCGAGACAAAGUGUGCUGGCUGAUGACGAGGUGGAACUCUGGAAAUCCGCCACCGUAGAGCUCAUGUCGGACGAAGAGGAUGGCGUUGUUGGCGGGGUCUCGGGGUGGAUUGUACGGUCGCCGCCAUUGCGUAGUCAGUCCCGGUUAGAGGCGACUCAGAAAUACCGAGCAACACACACUAGGCGCCUGCACAACAGACCUGCCUCGGAAAACACGCCGCCAGUGACGGUUUACAACCCCGAGGAGGCAAACGGACAGUUUACUGAGCUGUAUUUUUUUAAACCGUCGUUACCCAAGUGUGGGUAGGUCCUCACUUUGGAUAUAGUUGUUG